AACGAACGCUGGCGGCAUGCCUAACACAUGCAAGUCGAACGAGACCUUCGGGUCUAGUGGCGCACGGGUGCGUAACGCGUGGGAACCUGCCCUUAGGUUCGGAAUAACUCCCCGAAAGGGGUGCUAAUACCGGAUAAUGUCUUCGGACCAAAGAUUUAUCGCCUUUGGAUGGGCCCGCGUUGGAUUAGCUAGUUGGUAGGGUAAAAGCCUACCAAGGCGACGAUCCAUAGCUGGUCUGAGAGGAUGAUCAGCCACACUGGGACUGAGACACGGCCCAGACUCCUACGGGAGGCAGCAGUGGGGAAUAUUGGAAAAUGGGCGAAAGCCUGAUCCAGCACUGCCGCGUGAGUGAUGAAGGCCUUAGGGUUGUAAAGCUCUUUUACCCGGGAUGAUAAUGACAGUACCGGGAGAAUAAGCUCCGGCUAACUCCGUG
rnacentral:rRNA from 1 species